rnacentral:rRNA from 1 species
AUUGAACGCUGGCGGCAGGCCUAACACAUGCAAGUCGAACGAGUGGCGGACGGGUGAGUACUGUCUGUGAAACUGCCUGAUGUAGGGGGAUAACUACUGGCACCGGUAGCUAAUACCGCAUACCAUCGGAUGUGCCCAGAUGGGAUUAGCUAGUAGGUGGGGUAAAGGCUCACCUAGGCGACGAUCCCUAGCUUGUCUGAGAGGAUGACCAGCCACACUGGAGCGGGGACACGGUCCAGACUCCUACGGGAGGCAGCAGUGGGGAAUAGUGCACAAUGGGCGCAAGCCUGAUGCAGCCAUGCCGCGUGUAUGAAGAAGGCCUGCGGGUUGUAAAGGACUUUCAGCGGGGAGGCGUUACCCGCAGAAGAAGCACCGGCUAACGCCGUGCCAGCAGCCGCGGUAAUAC